CAUAUCCCUUUGCUUAUUAUUAUUAUUUACCGCACAAGACGAUAUUCAACUUACACCUCGCAAAGACGACAGCUUUCAAUCUAGCUUUGUACUAUUCUGCAGACUGAGAAAAAAUGUUCUUUGCUAACCAGGCUUCGCAGGUGCUGCGCCAGGGCGCCUCGGAGGAGAAAGGCGAACGUGCACGCCUCAUGAACAUCAUGGGUGCCGUCUCAGUGGCUGACAUUGUGAAGACAACUUUGGGCCCGAAGGGGAUGGAUAAGAUUCUUCAAGGAACGGAUCGAACUCAGUCCGUGCGUGUCACCAAUGACGGCGCGACAAUCCUCAAAUCUCUGUUUAUGGACAACCCGGCUGCCAAGAUUCUGAUUGAUAUGAGUAAGACACAGGAUGAUGAAGUGGGCGACGGUACGACUAGCGUCACGGUGUUUGCUGGCGAGCUCUUGCGCAACGCUGAAAAGCUGCUGGAUCAGUCCAUUCAUCCUCAGACUAUCAUUGAGGGUUACCGCAUGGCUACCGACGCCGCACAGAAGGCUCUGGCGGAGUCCGCCGAGGAUCACGGCGCGGACGAGAAGCUCUUCUACGAAGAUCUCAUCCGCAUCGCCAAGACUACCCUCAGCUCCAAGAUCAUUACUGUGGAGUCAGACCACUUCGCAAAGCUCUGCGUCGACGCGGUUCUUCGUCUGAAGGGCAGCGGCAACCUUGAGAUGAUUAAUAUCAUGAAGAAGCUUGGUGGUACGCUCCGCGACAGCUAUCUCGAGCCUGGGUUCCUGCUGGACAAGAAGAUUGGCAUUGGCCAGCCCCGCCGCCUGGAGAAUGCCAAGAUUCUUGUAGCGAACACCCCCAUGGACACCGAUAAGAUCAAGAUUUUUGGUGCGAAGGUGAACGUUGAGAGCGUUUCUCAGCUCGCCGAGGUGGAGGCGUCUGAAAAGGCAAAAAUGAAGUCCAAGUGUAUGAAGAUCAUUAAGCACAACAUCAACUGCUUCAUCAACCGUCAGCUUAUCUACAACUAUCCGGAGGAAAUCUUUGCACAGCACGGUAUCAUGGCCAUCGAGCAUGCCGAUUUCGAUGGCAUUGAGCGCCUCGCGAAGGCUCUCGGCGCGGACGUUGUCUCGACCUUCGAGGACACCUCGAACGUGCAGUACGGUUUCGCUGAGAGGAUCGACGAGAUCAUGAUUGGCGAGGGCACUGUGAUCCGCUUCUCUGGACUUCCUAAGGGCGAGGCGUGCACGAUUGUGCUGCGCGGCGCGUCGCGCCACAUUCUUGAUGAGGCGGAGCGCUCCAUCCAUGAUGCGGUGUGCGUUAUCUCGGAGACCGUGAAAGAGACGCGUACGGUGCUCGGUGCCGGCUGCUCCGAGUUCCUCAUGGCAAACGCGGUGGAGGAGAAGGCCAAGGCGGUCGCGGGGAAGAAGCAGCUGGCGAUGAUGGCGUUUGCUGCUGCCCUUCGCACCCUUCCUGCUAUCAUCGCAGACAAUGCCGGCCUUGAUAGCAAUGAUCUUGUCACGCGCCUCCAAGCGGAGCACUACCAGGGGCACAAAUCGCACGGCAUUGAUGUUAUUCGUGGUGACAUUGCUGACGUGAAGACACUUGGGAUUACCGAGUCCUACAAAGUGAAGAGCUCUGUUGUGGCGUAUGCCUCGGAGGCAGCUGAGAUGAUCUUGCGUGUGGAUGAUGUACUCCGCGCCGUGCCGCGUCAGCGCACUCAGUGAUGGAUGCCGACCUUCGAGUGAAAGCAGCGGCGCAAGAGCACUGCGAAACCGGAAUAGGCUUUUGAAAGCUUUGUUCUCACCUCUGUAGGCAAUGGUGCGAGUCAUCGAACCGCUGCUCCGAGGCGGGCCGAAAGCAAGGUUCAGCGUUGUCUUCUGUCCACCCCUCCGAUAUAGAAACUGGCUCCCCACCGGGAAACCCUUAAAAAGGCAAUCCUUCAUGCUUCAUACCGGCAGGCGUCGGUCCUGUUUACUCUUUCAGCGCGAAAGUUGAACGCUCAGUGAGAGAGUGGAGACAAACGAGGGAUGAGGUGUGAUGCAGCAGUGUUGUGGUGGCUCGCAGCAAAGGUGGUUCAAGUGAAAGAAUUGGAAGCUUGGGCGUGACCGUCGUUUAUUUUUCCACUUUCUUUGUGAGUUUGUGAUGGCCAGUGUGAGGCUGUGCGCUGUAUAGGCUAAGGACUAAGUGAGACUAACUCUUACUCUUAUUUGUAUGUUUCGUCUCAGAG
rnacentral:misc_RNA from 1 species